rnacentral:rRNA from 1 species
GCCUACGGGGGGCAGCAGUGGGGAAUAUUGCACAAUGGGCGCAAGCCUGAUGCAGCCAUGCCGCGUGUAUGAAGAAGGCCUUCGGGUUGUAAAGUACUUUCAGCGAGGAGGAAGGCAUUAAGGUUAAUAACCUUAGUGAUUGACGUUACUCGCAGAAGAAGCACCGGCUAACUCCGUGCCAGCAGCCGCGGUAAUACGGAGGGUGCAAGCGUUAAUCGGAAUUACUGGGCGUAAAGCGCACGCAGGCGGUCUGUGAAGUCGGAUGUGAAAUCCCCGGGCGCAACCUGGGAACUGCAUUCGAAACUGGCAGGCUAGAGUCUUGUAGAGGGGGGUAGAAUUCCAGGUGUAGCGGGGAAAUGCGUAGAGAUCUGGAGGAAUACCGGUGGCGAAGGCGGCCCCCUGGACAAAGACUGACGCUCAGGUGCGAAAGCGUGGGGAGCAAACAGGAUUAGAUACCCUAGUAGUCC